CCAGUUGAUUCCCAUCAUCCGUUUAUUUUCCUCUUCGUUUAAGAAGGAAGCCUUUGUGCCUGACUGCAAUUCUGAGGGAAAGGUAAACAGGUGAAUGCAAAAACUACAGGAGCAGCCAUUAGCUAAUUGUUCCUGGGAAGAUGCUUAACAAAAUACAAGAGAAUUCUGCAGCCACUGAAAUACCAAGGUCCGCAGAAGCCACCGAAAAACCAUGGAGACAGACUGAUUAGUGUGCCUGGCUGAGCAAAUUCUCUGUUUAGCACAAAACCAUUGCUAAGGAGACUAUAAUUUAAAGUCUGCUGAGUGUACAAAAAGGAAGCCAAACAGAGCACAUAUUUUCAAGCACACAGCAAGGCAGAUAACCCAUUUCAUAAUCUGUUUCAUCCUCUGUUUUUUCUUGUUUAUGUAAAAAGCGAAAUCCCAUUUUUCUCACCACUGAAUUGCAUUUUGUUGGAUAGGACCCAGUGAUCAAGUCUGUCAGGAUCCUUCUGAAACUUGAGCCUAUCUUCUAAAGUGUUGGUUAUCCACCACCACCCCAGCUGCAAAUUUGAUGAGUUCCCCUUCUAUCCCUUCAUCUAACUCAUUUAUGAAGAUAUUGAAGAGAAAGGGCCCAAGAUGGAAACUUGGGGUUCCCCACUGCAUGGUCCCUUCCAUGUAGAUGUAGUUCCAUUGAGGAUUAUACAUUGAGCGCAGUUGGUCAACCAGUUACGAAUCCAUCUGGUGAGGAUCCUGCCUAUUGUCAGGUUUCAGUGCUAUCUUGAAUAAACUUCAUUCUCAAGCGCAAG